AAACGUUAGGAAUACAGAACGGAAGACAGAUAUCUUGUAUCUACUGCUUUUCUACUUGUGAAGGUAAAUAUAGCUUUUUCUUUUUGCUAUAUCCUUCGGUUUGGAUCUUAUCAGUUAAUUUAUUUGUUGAUUCUAACCAAUCUACUUAUUUAUGGUCGUUAUUGUAUAGGAGCUCCAGACUGACCUGUUUUUUUAUUUUUUUUUUUGGGGGGGGGAAUUCCUUUUUUUAUCUUAUGUUACAAUGAUAACCUAACAUAUGAAAGUAAUUGAGACAUUAGAUUGGCAGCAACACUAUUAAACAAACUGGGCUCAUAUGAUGCACAAUGCAGACUUAAACUUGAAAAGAAAGUUUUCCAAUAGUCUUAGGGAAACAUUCAUUGUGAAUAUUAGCUGUUGCACAUCACAUCUCUCCCAGUACCAAACUACAUGCCAAAUAGGAUUUCAGGACAACUGCAAGAUUAUAGAGGAAAUACACAUAGUAGAUAUAAGAAUAUGUGGUACAUGUGGUAUGAGUGCCAAUGAGAAAACUCUCUCAUCCAAGGCACAAUUUGUAAAAGUAAACAUGUAUAGGUCAAAGUGUAGUGUUCAACACGGAGCCUUGGCCCACACCGAAGAGCAAACCAUAAAAGGCCCCAAAUAUGACAUGUGUAAAAUCAUUCAAACGGGAAAACCAACGGUCUUAUCUAACCAUGUAAUAAUAUUUGAAGGGUACCAGAGAAAUGUUCCAAUUUAAAAUUGCAAUUCAGCUACCACAUCUUUGAAAGAAAAAUAAAUUAAGAUAGUGAAACUUGAUUGCACUGCUGGGUCAUUAAAACCCCUUCUUUAAACACCCUUCAAGUAUCACUAAUUAGAAAUUGGACUACCCCCCCCCCCCCCCCCCACCCCCAAAAAAAAAUAUGUCGAUUUUAGAAUCGUAUAACAUUUUUAUUAUCCUGAGAAUUAAUAAUAAUAUAGAAUAACUAAAACGAGAAAAAUGUUUAACGACUGACGGAACACCAUAUUAUUUCACGUAUACGAAUAGCGUAUCAGUUAAUUAUCAGCGUUGUUCGAUCACGAUUGAAUAUUUUCGAUAUUUGAAUUCUUUUUAUAACAUUGGCAAUGGGAUUUUAAGUUGAAUUAAAGUAGAAAAUGUCAGGAAUUAUAUUUUUUACUACGUAUUCACCGUUGCUCUAAUAAGACGUCAUCGACAACCUUUGUAGUAUGACGUCAGAGGAGUGAAAUAACCGAGUUAAUUUCACAUUGGAAAUUAUACAUUUUUAUUUCACUGGAAAAUCACGAUAAUUCAUCGCAAUCAAUAUAAUAAAUGAUCUAAUCAAUAAAACCAUUGUUCUGUUCAGUAUAGUUAGGUAUAUAUACAGUACAACGGCCUUGGCAGUAUAUUUGAACAAUAAACACAAACAUUGGCUUGUGUUUGCCACUCCGAUGUAUAGGGCGCUUUUCGUAUUUUACCGAUUUAAAAUUUUGACUUAUUGUGGAGAAAAUAUCAGGACGAAUUUUGUUUAAAUAAAAUUCUUUCAAUGGGAUCUUCCAAAGUUAUGCCCUUUCGUAAACAUUUGGCAAAGUUAAACAUUGCAAUAAAUAAUCUGGUGCAUAGAUACUUUUACCACAAAACGCCCGGGCGUGCACAUUAUUUUGGAGGGAAAACUAAUUUGGUCCAAAGAAAUAAAAGAAACAAUUACAGAACGUGAGCAAUUGUAAUGCUUUAUUUAAUGACUCGUAAUUGCAGAUAAAAGUGACAAAAUUUACUAUAUAAUCAAAUUGUAUCAUAUUAUAUAUUUGUUCCUUUAAAUUUUCUGUGAAACUUUGAAAUUACUGUGAAUUUUCUACUUCAAUCAAUAUUGUUUAAAGCAAUUUAGCAACUGCCGAGAUAUAAUAUGUAUGGCUUGCAUUUGUAUGUUACACCUGAUCAUCUAUGAAAAAUAAUUAUUUCAUGCGUCUAUGAACGAAGUGUUCCUGUCAAAGGGUGUGAAAAUUAUAUGAAAAUAUAGAUUCUACCACUGCAUCGAGUGUAAUGCGAUAUUUAUCCACUCGAGACAGUUAAAUUUUCAAAUUCAAAACGCGAGGCUUGCCCGAGCGUUUGAAAUAUUUAAAAUUUAACUGUCGAGAGUGGGUAUAUAUCGUAUUACACGAGAUUUGGUGGUGGAAUCUGUUUCUCUAAUGAUUUUCUAACAUUAUGCAGGCAAACUUGUUCCUUCUUUUCGAAUGAUCUGCAAAAAGAUGACUUUGUGUUCUUUCUAUGUGGCCUCAUCAGGCAUGGUCGCCUUUUUUCAUGCCGUCACAAUAGGUAAUUCAGAGGGAAGCAAGAAAAUUCUACGUCAUAAUCGGAUUUUAACCAAUGAAGUUCUGAGAUCAAACGAACCACACGUUGAUUAAAUUUUAAAUUUUUUAAUACAAUGGGUACAGAAAGGGAUAAUUUGACGAAAAAUUAGAGAAAUGUCUGUUGACGUUAGAAAUGUGUAUAUAUCUUUUCUAUAUUUAUAAAUUCAGAUCGUUCAGUGCAGUUUAUUUUGUAUUUUUAUUGACGUAAUCGGUCUUGUACCAUCAUAACUGUCGUUACCGUUAAAGCUUUAGAAGUGUGCUAGUUCAUAUUGCACUUUACAAAAGAUUCAGCACCCAAAUGACGUUUUUGGAGGACAGAAAAGCAGUUAUUUAUAAGGGAAAAUUUACAGAUUUACAGAUAUAGGAAGAUGGUGCAUGAGUUCGAAUGAGACAACUUUCCAUCAAAGUAAUAAUUUGUUUCAAGUAAACCAUUAUAGAUCAAAGUAGGGCCUUAAAAACGAAGCGAACACCACGCUAUAUAGGAACCAAACAAUUUCUAGUGUUAAACCAUUCAAACAGGAAAACCAACGGUCUAAUUUGUGUGAAAAAAGGAGAUUCAAAAAUACAAGUCAGAUUUUGUCGAAUCAAUCUGAACGAGGACAGUAUGAUUCAUCUUUAUCACAAGUUAGUUUCAUUGUUAUCAAUAAAGAAAGUCUUCCAUGCGUGCGUUGCGAGCAUAUCAGAUAUAUAUUAUUUCGGUGCGUUCAUUAUAAAAUUUGCUAAAUGUUAUAUAUUAUAUAUGUGAACAAUAAUUUUGAUACUUAGCUAUUUGAUUACGACAUUAUUUAUUAAACCCCAUCGGUACUGGCAUUUUCAAAUUUUGAAAAUGGUGGAUUGAACCUGGUUUCAUAGCGCUAAACCUCUCAUGUAUAUGACAGUCGCAUCAAAUUCUGUCAUAUUUACAACGAUGCGUGAACAAAACAGACAUAAUAGGUAAAAUUGUCAAAAUAUGGGUACAGCAGUCAAAUAUUGAUACUAAUAAGUACUUAUAUUGAUAUAACAAAAACACCGCUAUGAUAUUUUAAAAGUAUCGCAUUGAUAUUAGAAAUAAUAGCUUUUGUAUAUCUAUGUAUAUAAGAAAAACACAGCACUCCAAAUUUUACACGGACAUAAACGGUUGCAUCUAACUAACUUCUGAAUGUAUAUUUAGACUCAAUUGUUGAUUAUAUUUGAACAAUAAGUUUUAAAGUUAGUAUUUUCUUAAUUUUUCGUUGCCGAAAUCAACAUUUUCCGCAUGGAAUGUCUGCAUAUUUACAAUUGAUAUUAGACAAUAUCGCUAUGUGAUGUAAGAAAAGUUUUUAUCGAUUCGCUUCUUCCAUAGACUGAUUAUUCAUUUCCAUCGAUAUCAUUGAAAUGGGUUAUUUUGAAAUUCAUUGUAACUAGAUGAUUACUUGUCAAUGUAUUCAUUUAUUUAAUGAGUUAUUUUGAGAAAUGGUGUAAUCAUGUAUUUAAUUUAGUCGUUUAAUUGACAAAGUAAUUGUACUUUAAUCUACAGUGUAUAACAUUGAAAGUAAUCGAACACAUCUCUGAUUCUAGUUUACAAAUGAAACAGGCAAAUAUUUUCGGUAAAAUACCUGUUUAUCCUUUUAAAUUCUUAAGUCAUUUAACAAUGCAUCGGUGUUUUUGUUUUCUAUGAAUAACAAAGUGAUCGAUAAAAUAACUGUUAAUUCAAAGUUACUUAAGGAACGACUGUAAUAUUUUUUACUGUCAAUGAAGAAAUAACAGAAAUCAUGUUGUGGAAACUGAAUACGCGAGUUAUUUCAAAGUACGAACCACAUGUUUCUUUUUCUUUUUCGAAUGCACUGAAAACAAUACUACAGUCAUUUCUGAUAAUUUAAUUCUAAAUUCCAUUUUAAGCCGAAGUAAAUAAUGAAAAAAACAUUGAUGAUAUCGCGGUCACAUGCCAAUUGUUUGUAAUUGAAUAAAGGUAAUUGAACAAUGUCUGAAUAUUAUCUUCAAUUAAAACUUAAAAAAAUAUACUUAUUUCCCUAUUUCUUAUGAACGAUGCGUACGUUCUGCUUUUUGUUCAAUCCAGAAUAUUUCAAGAUUGAAAUCAUUUAAGUUACAUAUGUAUUUACUUUUCACACGAAUUGUUGACAUUUAUUACAAAUGGGACUACUCUACCUCACAAACUGUUAAACUGCAAUGCCAGUACUAACAAUAUAUGAAAAAAAGAAGAUGUGGUAUGAUUGCCAACGAGACAACUAUCCACAAAAGACCAAAAUGACACAGACAUUAACAACUAUAGGUCACCGUACGGCCUUCAACAAUGAGCAAAGCCCAUACCGCAUAGUCAGCUAUGAUAGGCCCCGAUAAUACAAUGUAAAACAAUUCAAACGAGAAAACUAACGGCCUUAUUUAUGUAAAAAACAAUGAACGAAAAACAAAUAUGUAACACAAAAACAAACGACAACCACUGAACUACAGGCUCCUGACUUGGGACAGGCACAUACAUAAAUAAUGUGGCGGGGUUAAACAUGUUAGCGGGAUCCCAACCCUCCCCCUAAUCUGGGACAGUGGUAUAACAGUACAAUAUAAGAAUGAACUAUAAAAAUCAGUUGAAAAAGGCUUAACUCAUGAGAUGGACAAAAAUACAAGUGGACGUGGAAUAUAGUUUGCAGUUUUUCACAUGUAUAAACUAUGAAUAUCAUAUUAACAAAAGUAGAUACGAGACGGCUAAUUCACUGGGGUAAAGCUGAUGACCGUAACUGCAUUCACGGUCAUCCCAAGAUGUCGGAUGAAAAAUUAGGUCAGUAUCUGUAUUGUCUGUUAAAGUGUUUCUAUAUCAUUUUCUUUACAAAUCAUAUGUUGAUACGAUGUAAAUUUAUAAAAGAUUCACACGGAAAUCACUAAUGACUACCGAGAAAUGUGCAUGAAACAGAAAUUUCGAUUUGAAAAAAUCGCCAAGAUGACCGUAAAUCACAAUCGAGAUGACCGUAACAGAAUAAGAGAUUCAUAAUAAGGGUGACCGUAAUUGGUUUUAAGAUGACCGUAAUUUAUAAAUGAUGACCGUAAUUUUUAAUGGAUGACCGUCAAUUUUAAGAAAUAUCCGUAUUUAUAUAACUACUUUUUUUGUAUCAAAUGAUUAAUUGUGUUGGUAUAAACAUAUUUAUAUGAGAGUAUUAUCCUAGGUAGAAGAAAAUAAGACGUGCUUCAAAUAAAUAGUUAACGAUAUGUAUCUUUUUGUCGAGCCUGCAACUUUUGUGGCAGAAAGCUCGACAUAGGGAUAGUGAUCAGGCGGCGGCGGCCUUAGCUAACUUCUUAAAAGCUUUAUAUUGUAGAAGGUUGAAGAGCUGGAUGCUUCAUACUUUGUAAUGGAUCUGUAAUGUUUCCGUCAGUCAGUCAUAUGUCCUAUGUCAUUGGCCUCAUUUUCAUGGUUCUGUGACCACUUUGUAAUUGUGAAUUCUUUCUUAUUAUAAGUAAUAGGAUAACUAUAUUUGGUAUGUGCGUACCUUGCAAGGUCCUCAUGCCAGUCAGAUAGUUUUCACUUGACCUCGACCUCAUUUCAUGGAUCAGUGAACAAGGUUAAGUUUUGGUGGUCAAGUCCAUAUCUCUGAUUCUAUAAGCAAUAGGUCUAGUAUAUUCGGAUUAUGGAAGGACUGUAAGGUGUACAUGUCCAACGCGCAGAUGUCAUCUGACCUUGACCUUAUUUUCAUGGUUCAGUGGUUAUAGUUAAGUUUUUGUAUUUUGAUCUGUUUUCUCAUACUUUAUGCAAUAGGCCUACUAUAUGUGUUGUAUGGAAUGAUUGUAAGGUGUACAUGUCUAGCGGGCAGAUGUCAUCUGACCUUGACCUCGUUUUCAUGGUUCAGUGGUCAAAGUUAAGUUUUUAAGGUUUUGUUUUUUUAUCGAAUACUAUAUGUAAUAGGUCAACUAUAUUUGGUGUAUGGAAAUAUUUUAUGAUCUAUAUGUCCAUAGCGCAGGUUUUAUUUGACCUUGAACUCAUUUUCAUGGUUCAUUGCUCAGUGUUAAGUUUUUUUGUUUUGAUCUAUUUUUCUUAAACUAUAAGCAAUAGGUCAACUAUAUUUGUUGUAUGGAAGCAUCGUUAGCUAUCAACAUAAUAUCAAUGAUUAGUAAAGAAGGCGAGACAUUUCAGCGUGUGCACUCUUAUUUACGGUAGAGGGUUUAAUUUUUAAAAUGAAUAGUUGGGAAAACAUGCAACAAAAGCGCGAUAAAAUGACACCUUACUAAUAUAAUAAAAAAGGCGGUGCAAAGCCUACCUAAAAGUAAAGAGAUUUUUUUUUAUUAUUUCUGGGAUUCCUUUUAAUGACAUAUGAUAAAUACUCCUUUUCAAAAAUGCUAAUACAUGUACACCCAUUGGUAUUAUAUCGUCUUUGAAAAUGUUUUUUUUUUAAUAAUUACGACCAAACUAGCAAAAUAGAUUUUUAAAAUAGGAUUGUACGAAUAACGUAUCACAAGGGGGAACCUUGUCAAUUUAUAUAUAUACAGAAUGGAUAUUUCUUUGAAUUGACGGACAUUCUUUAAAAGUAACGGUCAUCCUUUAUAAAUUACAAUCAGCCUUUACAAAUUACGGUCAUCCUUUACAAGUUACGGUCAUCUUUUUACCAAUCACGGUCAUCCUUGUUAUAUGUUACGGUCAUCUUGAAAAUAUUUUGAUGAUGAUUUACGGUCAUCUAAGCGAUUUUUUCAAAUCGAAUUUCCCGUUUCAUGCACAUUUCUCGGUAGUAAUUGGUGAUUUCCGUGUGAAUCUUUUAUAAAUUUACAUCUUAUCAAUGUAUGCUUUGUAAAGAAAAUGAUAUAGAAACACUUUAACAGACAAUACAGAAACUGACCUAAUUUUUUAUCCGACAUCUUGGGAUGACCGUGAAUGCAGUUACGGUCAUCAGCUUCUCCCCAGUGUAAUUGAAUGAAAAAGGCGGUUUUUUAUACUUAAUUUCUCCUGAAUACUAUUUACAUAGGAAAGAACAUUAUUCUAUGUUUAACUAUAGAAUAUAUUCAGAUAAUUUAACCGAAUGUAUAGCCAUCCCUGUGCCCAAAAUCGAAGACUUGUCAGGCCCAAAUAAUUUCAGACCGAUAGUACUAGUUGGCAACCUUCCUGACAUAUGCACUACCAUAUUAACAGAACGUUUGCUUUUAUGAACAAAAAUUAAUGGACAAACAGUUUUUCUUUCGUCCUGGUCGUCCAACUCUACAUGCAUUUUUUUUUUAAAUUGCAUGAAAUUAUAACACAUGUAUUGGUAAACGAACUUCAUCUCUUCUGUGCUUACGUGGACUUCCGUUAGUCUUUCAAUAAGCUACACAGAAGAAUUUUAAUGAACAAAUAAGGUAAAAAUAAUUGUGGAUCUAACGUCUAAAAUGUGUUAUCUAACUAUAGGUAUAACGACGUAUGGAUUCUAGUAAGGUUUCAUUUGAUUGUGUUAAAACAUAUAUUAAUUUUUGACUAAGCUGGACUACUGCUUAAGAAGAUUGUAGCAAAAUAUUUAUUUAUAGACGAUAUAAACCAGUAUUUGGUAUAGAAAAAUACUGUUUGUAUUGUACUGUAUCUAUGUUAACUGAAUUGCGUAGCGACACACUUAAACUAAAUGUUGAAGUUGGUUGUUAACAUAAUACACAAAGAGAAAACAACAAUUGCAUAUGUUGCGAUAUGAAUGCUUCAAGGGACGAUUAUCAUAGUUUGACCAUGUCCAUCAAAAUUGUUACCUAUUUUUUACUAUUCAUGGGUACACCGGUACAAGUUAGUUAACUCAUUACAAUCUUAUUGUAAAUCUCUGACUGCAGCAGGCGCCGAUCCAGAGGGGGGUUCCGGGGGUUAGAAUCCCCCUUUUUUUGGGACGAUCAAGGCAUUUGACUGGGGACGUGUAAUUGGAACCCCCCCUUUGUCCUGGGUUAGGAACCCCCCUUUUUAAAAUGGCUGGAUCCGCCCCUGUGCAGUAUAGCUAUUUAUCUAUUUGAAAGCAGCGUCGACAAUAACAUCGCGUAUAUAGCUAUUAUACUACUGUUCUUUGAUGUCUUUUGGUUUUCAUGUAUUGUAUAUAUCUUUGUUUGUCAUAGAAAGUAUGGGCUUCUUGCAAGAAAAGUAUUAACUCAUUCAUUCAUUCAUGCAUUCAAUUCACUAUAUAUUUGUUAUGUAGAUUUUUUAAUUGGAUCGAUGAAAAAAAGGCUGUAGCAAAGGCAAAAAAAAUGUUGUCAUAACUAUCUUUUGUGUGUUGAUCAUGUUGAUGUUAAACCACUAAAGUGAGCACUAUGAAUGAUUAAUGAGGUUUAAUCAUGCAAUUAAAGUAUUUGAAGAACUGAGAAAAUUCACCCCAGAGUAUCAUUAGCUAUGUAAUAUAAUCAGCAUGUAUGUGUUGACAUAAAAUAUCUGUUAUACAUAGUUUAUUGAAAACUACAAUUAUAAAAUAUUCAAAUUAUUCAAAACAUUAAGUUGACUGGUUUCAGGUUGGGUGAAGGAUGGUCACUGAUGAGUCUUAUGUAGACGGAACGCGCGUCUGGCGUAUUAAAUUAUAAACCUGGUACCUUUGAUAACUAUAUACACCACUGGGUCGAUGCCACUCCUGGUGGACGUUUCGUCCCCGAGGUUAUCAUCAGCCCUGAAGUCAGCACUUCGAUGUUGACAUGAAUAUCAGUUGUAUGGUCAUUUUUAUAAAUUUCCUGUUUACAAAAGUAUGAAUUUUUCGAAAUUCUUAGGAUUUUAUUAUCGCAGGCAUAGAUAACCUUAGAGUUGGGUGCUCAUUUUCGCCAUAUCUUUCCAUGUUUUCUUCAGUUUGUGUUCAGGUCUUUGUGUUUUUGAAGUAUACUGAUAUUUCUAUAUGAAGAUAACUUCAAAUGCAAAAUAUUCAUAGCUUGAAAACGUCUUUCUUUUGAGAAAAAUGAUCUGAAAAGUGUGAUUAAAAGGUGUUUGAAAUUUCAUGAUUUUUUGCCAACAGGGGACACAUAUUCGCCGUUUUUACACAUCUAUUUAUAACCAAAUAACUGCAGCUUUAAACAAUAUUUAUCAAAUUAAUUUCAUUAUAGAUGAAUAGCAAACAUUUGAAAGUGUAAAAAACUGAAAUUUAGGGCAAUCAGUCAAAGAAUUACUAAUAAAUACUUCUUUGAAAUCUUUUUUUUUUCAUUCAGGAAUUGGCUGAAAAUCGUUGUCCGUUUUUCGGUCCUUUGCGGUAAGUGCCGAAAUUUUGUCUCAUUUUCAAAAAUAAUCAUAUUUGUUAUAACAUAUAAUUAACCGGCAUAUUUCUUCCAUUUCACCCAUCCUUUGAAGUUUUUACACCUCAAAAGCAUUAAACGGCAAAAUUGUGUCCACGGCGAAUAUGAGCGCCCCACUCUAGCUUUAUUUGGCACACCAUUUUGGAAACUUGGGUCUUAAUUGCUCUUCAACUUUGUACUUGUUUGGCUUUAUAACUAUUUUCAACUGAGCGUCACUGAUAUAAGUUAUAGGUUGCACUUUGUAAAAACUAAAUAAACAUGUGCAUAUUGUUUACAGGAUUCGAGCGUCACUGAUGAGUCUUUUGUAGACGAAACGCGCGUCUGGCGUAUAUACAAAAAUUUAGUCCUGAUACAUAGGUGGAUCCAGGGGGGCCUGGGGGGCCCGGGCCCCCCUUUCGUGGGAAAAAUUUGGUUGAUUAUAUAGGGAAUCAUUGAAUCAUGACUGGAGCGGCCCCCCCUUAGGUCAGUCAGAGCCCCCCCCCCUUUAGGAAAAGUUCUGGAUCCGCCACUGUGAUAUCUGGGAUGAGUUUAUUUACAUUGAAAUCUGUGGUAACCUUUCAUUCGAGGUAGGGGUAGUUAAGAAAAUUAGUGUUAGUUUAAACUCUGAGAAGUUCAGGGCAUAUAAACGUUGAAAAUAUGCCGCACAGACCUAUAUUUUGACCUUUGAAAACAAUUGUGGUGCAUAUGAACUUUCAAUUCUAUGAUAAGAUUUUUUUCAAAACUAUGAUAAGAUUUUUUUCAAAACUUCAUAAAGUAUAAAAAGUACAGUUUUAGCCAUAAAAAGAGUUCCUAUGGGAAAUUGCAUUGUCAAUAUUUACAGAAAUGCAACCUAUAAGCCUGGAACCUUUGAUAACUAUUACUGCCUUUUUAAACGUUUAAACCCGCUGCAUUUGUUUGCACAUGUCUUAAGUCACGAAUCUCGUGUUCAGUGGUUGUCGUUUGUUGAUAUGGUUCAUAAGUUUUUCUCGUUUCUUAUUUUUAUUUAGAUUAGACCGUUAGUUUUCCUGUUUGAAAGGUUUUACACUAGUCAUUUUGGAACCUUUUUUUAGCUUGCUGUUCAAUAUGUGCCAAGGCUCUGUGUUUAAGGCGUUAUUUUGACUUAUAAUUGUUUACUUUUAUAAAUUGUGAAUUAGAUGGAGAGUUUUAUAUAUCUCUAGGUACUCAAACCACAUCUUAUAAUUUCCAGUCAUUCAGAUUUGGAACAGACUUUUGGGAUUUUUAGUUAACAUUUUCUUCAACUCGGUCAAUUAUUUUUUUUCUUUUACAUAUUUUUCUAGCGCCAGUGAUGGACGUUUUGUUUAAGUAUAAAUUAGGGUUUAAUAGAUGACUUCAUUUCAAUAAUAAGUCUGCAUACUAACACGCGUACAUUCAUGUAUUAUCUGAAUAUCUAUAUACUAACACGCGUACAUUCGUGUAUUAUCUGAUUUUCUAUAUACUAACACGCUUACAUUCAUGUAUUAUCUGAUUAUCUAUUUACUAACACGCGUACAUUCAUGUAUUUUCUGAUUAUCUAUUUACUAACACGCGUACAUUCAUGUAUUAUCUGAUUAUCUAUAUACUAACACACGUACAUUCAUAUAUUAUCUGAUUAUCUAUAUACUAACACGCUUACAUUCGUGUUUUAUCGGAUUAUCUGUAUACUAACACGCUUACAUUCAUAUCUUAUCUGAUUAUCUAUAUACUAACACGCGUACAUUCAUGUAUUAUCUGAUUAUUUGUAUACUAACACGCGUACAUUCAUGUAUUAUCUGAUUAUCUAUAUACUAACACGCGUACAGUCAUGUAUUAUCUGAUUACCUAUAUACUAACAUGGGUACAUUCAUGUAUGACGAUAAGAUUUUUUCUCUAUUUCCUUUUUUUGGCGACUGAAUGAUAUAAAAAAACUUUUCAUAAACACGUUAGCAGAGUAGUUAUACUAUGAUUUGUUUCAGAUAGGUGUUAGGAAUUUCUUUAUAAACCUAUAUCAACAUUAUAAAUAUUUUGUAUUCGUUCCAGGACAAUGUUGGUUAUUAAAGCAAUGGUCACUCACUUACUUAUCACAAUAGUGUAUGUAUUAACUGGUGGAACUUUUCAUAGUGGAAAGUACCUUGAUUCCAAGAUACUGAAGGUGUUUUUCAAUGUAGGACCAAGAAUGUGCAUGUUAAGAUGCACCAGAUUUGCUGGAUGUACUGCUUUCAACUUUGUAAAAAGUCAUUUGUACUGCGAACUGCUUAACAGGACUCAACAGGCCACAGCAGUAGAUAAGGAACAUUACAUGUACUCGGAAAUGUCAACUUGGACGAUAG
rnacentral:lncRNA from 1 species